GCCAAAGUUUCCCGCAAAUAAUGUUUAGUUUUACACAAACCUAAAGCAGACUUAGACCAGUGACGCAGAAUUACGCAAUUCCAAUCUUUCAAAAUGGAUGAUCUUGGAAGACAAGGGAUACAAAAUAAAGGAAUAGCUGAGAUGAGAGUUGAUUUCCUAACCCUUGUCUCUAUUCUGAUUCUGGCUGCUUUCUUCAUUAAAUCAACCCUAUCAAUCCUUAACACAGGAGCUAGAUUCUACGAGGAGAAUGCUGAAAAUUCUUUUAUUUAUUAUAUUUUGAGUUCUUUAGAGAAAAUAAAUUGAUAUUUAGUCCAUAAGCACAACUCCUUACACACAACUCAAUAGACAAAACUCCUUCCACCAAACUCCUUAAACAACUCAUACGCACAACUAACUCACAACUCCUAACACACAAAUAUAAUAAACUUUAAAAGUUUUGUACAACAUACAGAUGGUAUAGAUUAUGUACAUGUCAUGUACUCUAUCAUACUUAUCGUUAAAAAGCUUUCAGAAUAACAUGAAAACUUAGUUUAUGAUUAUAAAACAAGAAAUAAAUAUUCUUUUUGCAGUUUUAUAACAAAAAAGCUUUCUUAAACUUUCUUGUUUUAAAUAACUUUUUCCCUCUAAGUAAAUUUCUGCAUUACCAAAAUAAUUUUUUUUAUGUUGUAUAAAUAAUCUAAUACCUGAAAAAGGGUUAGUUUGAAGAACCUGAAAUGGAGCCUCUUGUAUUGUAUAAUGUAUAACCUAUUUUCUUUGUCGGAAGGUUAUUAUCAUGUUAUUAUAUAUUUAUUAUUAUAUAUCUUGUGUGCAAAGGUAUAAUACCUACAUGACAAAGAUAAGCUUGUUAUGAGUCCUGAGAAACUUUGAUGAAUUCAAAACCUAAUUUUUAUCAUCCUAGACCAAGAUGAAAUUUUUAUUAUUGGGGUCAAGUAAGAUUUUACUCGUCGAAAUUAGUGUUUUUUUAUUUUUAUUAUUUUUGAAAUAACACACGCACCUCUGACCCUUUAGUAAAAGUAAAUUCAACCUAGUCUGCCCCCGUCAACCUUGUUACACCGGCUAGUCCUAUUGAUUGUCUGCUUUAUUUA